rnacentral:rRNA from 1 species
UACGUAGGUGGCAAGCGUUGUCCGGAGUUAUUGGGCGUAAAGCGCGCGCAGGCGGUGCGGUAAGUCUCUGGUGAAAUCUCCCGGCUUAACUGGGAGGGUGCGCUAUAGACUGUGGGGCUAGAGUGCGGGAGAGGAAAGUGGAAUUCCUGGUGUAGCGGUGAAAUGCGUAGAUAUCAGGAGGAACACCGGUGGUGUAAACGGCUUUCUGGACCGUAACUGACGCUGAUGCACGAAAGCGUGGGUAGCAAACAGG